CUUAUAUUGCCAUUUGUAUUUUUCAAUGUUAUCUUUUCUAUUUUUGUUUCUUUCCUCCUUUAAUAGUAAAGGAAAUAGUUGUUACAGAAAGCCUAUUAAACUAGGACAAAAUGAAGAUGCAGAAGGCGAAAAUCAAAGUAAUAUUUCAAAAAAUCUAGAACGUAAAAUUAAAAGACACAAGAGAAUAUUAGAAGCAAAAAAAGCAAGACGAAAAAAGAAAAAGGAACAUAGAAAAGAAAAGUUGGCUGAAUUAAAAAAAGCAGAACUUGACUGAGGGCUGCAAAUAAAUGGACUAAGAGCUGCUUGUAGCCCAAGGCUACCAGUGAAAAUAUUCCUGAUCUAGAAUUAAUUUACCUCACUCUCAUUUUCAGAG
rnacentral:lncRNA from 1 species